AUGAACGAGCAACUGGGCUGCUGUUCCCGGUCACCGACGCACACGAAACGUUCAAUAAAUCCACCGAGGGCUGGCUCCUCGUACCUUCCUCCCCUGCCCCAGCUCCCCAGGCCCCACCUCCCCGGCAGGCUGGGAUCCACGUACUUUCGCCGAGAUGAAGUUUGGGGCUCCCCGGGCGGCCACGAGCCGCCCGCCGGCGUGAGGGCUGGCUCUGUUGUUGUUUUCCUCGGGCUGCUUCUGCCCGCGCCCCGGCUCCCGUGCCCCUCUCGGGCGGCGCUGCCUGUGUGUCGAGAGGUGCUGGUUGCAAACGCAGCCUGGCACCGGCUGGCCUACUACUCCCCAGCCCGGCCCCCAGCCUCCCGCCCGCAGGGCACUGCCUCCGCGCCCCCCGCCCCCCGCCGGCGCGGCCGCCGCGACCCUCGCCCCCGACCUCUCCCGACCCAAAGUUUUGGCGGAGGGGGAAAGUGCCCGGGGAGCGGAGCGGCCAGCGGCGGCUCCGGUCGCGCGGGGUUCCCUCCGUCUUCCUCAAGUCCACCCUACCGGCUGCCGCCGCCGCCGCCGCCGCCGCCGCUGCUCCUGCCGCGGAGUCCUUGGGGCUGCAGCCCGGCGGCUCGCAAAUUUGAUGAUCAAACAAAAGUGGAGUUUACAAGGUUAGCACACUUCUCCUUCUCAUGGCCUUGAUUGUCCAUUUUCUUAAUUGUAUUUGAUAGGAAUCUUCUAUUACAAAGUAAUUUUGGGAGACUAAAUUUAAAUAUGUGUGUAUACACAUGUGUAUAAGUCUACAUUUAUGUAAACAUGUCUAUAAAUAACAUUCAUUUCCUUAUUUUAAAAAAUGUUUUAAGUUUUUAUAUUUGAGAGAGAGCGUCCGUGUGCACAUGUGCUCAUGCAUACAAGCAGGAGGAGAGAGAAUUCCACGCAGCCUCCUCGCUGUCAGUGCAGAGCCCAAUGUAAGGCUUAAUCUCCCAUGAGAUCAUGACCUGAGCCAGAAUCAAGAGUGUGGCGCUCAACCAACUGAGCCAACCAGGCACUCUUAUUUCCUUAUUUAUACACUGCUUCUUUAUACAGUCCUAGUUGAAAUCCUGAUUUCACCACUUCCUAACUCUGUGACCUUGGAAAAAUUCCUUAAUCACUCUAAGACUCCGUUUUCUUAUUUGUAAAAUAGGGAUGGUAAGACUAACCAUAAAUGAAAUAAUCCAUGUAGAAUACUGAAGCCUGGAACCUACUGAACAUUCAGUAAAUAUUAAUUUUAUUUAUAUUUCACACAGAAAAAGCCAAUAACAGCUGCUUUACAGAGAGUUUUCUAAGACUUAAUCAGAACAUCAAAUAGAGUUCAUGGAAC
rnacentral:lncRNA from 1 species